UUCCAAAUAUAAUAAUAAUAAUAUGAAUGGAUUUAGCAGAGCCAAUCCUUUGUGUUGUUUUAACAAUUAUAAAAAGCAAUAUGGUCAUGAACACCAUUAAGAGCUAAUAAAACUAGUAUAGUAGCUAAUGAAAGUAGAGUUGGGUUUGUGCGGAAAAUACUAGACUUUUUUCAAGUUUGUCUAAUUAGCAGAAUAAAAUUCCAGUUUACGUGAUAAGUGCGCUUAUGAACGUUAAUGUGUAGUCAUUAUUAUUAGGGAUUAUUAUUAUUCGAAUAAUCAGUUAUGAUCAAAUCAAAAAAUUAUACAUUUGGUCAGAUAUUUGAUUUGAUCCAUAUCAAUAAUAUAAAAAUUAAAAAUUAUAUAAUAAUCCAAAUAUAGUAUAAAAUAAUAAUAUUUAAUCACAAAAAAUAUUGACUUUUUAAACUCUAAAAUGUAAAAUAAAAUAAUUUUAAAAAUAAAAAUGCUGUAAAACUCACAUAAAUAUAAUAAUUAUAUAAUGUAUAUAUGUAAUUCUUUAAAUAUGUGUAUAUAUAUAUAUAUAUGCAUAUAACGGAUAUGCCUAAAUAUCUACUUUAAAAAUAUUAAUAUAUGUGAAUUGUUUCGUUUACUGUGGAUAUUAGUAUAUGAUUUACUUCGUAAAAUUACAUAUAUCUAAUCUUUCUAUUUGAAAAGAAAUAAAUAACAAAUUAAAUUAAAUUUUACAGAUUUUACCGAGAGCCUUAGUAAUAACCUUUGUUCAAAAAAUCGGCCGCGGAGACGAUUACUCGGCCGGUUAAACGUGACGCGGGUGGACUGCGUGGCGAACUGAGUCACUUCGGUUGCAUUACGCGGUGGGCCGUGGAAUGGACGUGGACGGCAUAGAAUUAGAAAACGCGUCCGCGUAAUGAACAGAGAUUGGCUUUAGUGGUUGCUUUGUAGAAAUGGGUUUUCGAAAGAUUGAACCCUCGUUACAGAUACAUGGUGGUUGUGUUGGUGUAGCCUGAACAAAUCAAAAGACACGCCAAGAUCAAAGCACGCCAACUGUUCGAUGAAAUUCCUAAGAGAAGGUUCACAUGAUUGUAAACUGUAAAGAUUAUAAUUCUUUGUUGAUCAUGAUAUGCGGAGACGUGAGUGGUGUGUUACCACAAAAUCAAGGGAAGGUGUUUGGUUCCAAAGACAUUGUUAUUAUGCUCAUGAAGCUGUUCUUUGAGAACGGUGAAGUCAAUUUAGAACUAAACCUGAGGAAAUAUAUGAUGGAGAAAGGGUAUUGCCCUCAUGCCCACACAUUGGAACUCUUUACCAAUGCAUAGUUUGAAGAAACACAAUGAUGUUCUUAAGUGCUCAACGCAGACAAUGGAGAGAGGAAGGUGCGUGAGCAACGAGACUAUUGUUCAAGUUGUAUACAAAAUAUUUGACAAAAUAUGGACAAUAUAGUAGUUUGCUCCUACAAAAUCAAAUAUGUGAGUUUUAGUAUCAA